rfam:Felis catus isolate Cinnamon breed Abyssinian chromosome A3, whole genome shotgun sequence.
CCCUGGCUGGCUCAGUCGGUGGAGCACGUGACUCUUGAUCUCGGGGUUGUGAGUUCGAGCCUCACGCUGGGCG